UAAAGUGCGAUAACUGGUGUGAAUUGCAUUACUUUGUGAAUCAUCGAGUCUUUGAACGCAGCUUGUGACCCCCCGGGGUCGUGUCUGCUUGAGUGUGCGUCUUGUACGUGACGGAUGCUUGCAGCCCCGUUUGAAACGAGCGUGACGCCUGUUGCUGAACGACGCGCUUGUGCUUGAACGGCAUUGCCGAACGACACUUGUGCCGAAUGAAAUGCGGCGUCGCUCCCCCUUCUUCGCACCUCAAGCCAGGCAAGAGCACCCGCUGAACUUAA
rnacentral:misc_RNA from 1 species